rnacentral:lncRNA from 1 species
AUGUCCCCAAGGCGUCCCUGUGAUGUCCCCAAGGUGUCCCUGUGAUGUCCCCAAGUGUCCCUGUCCCCGCAGGGUUCCUGUGAUGUCCCCAGGGAUGUCCCCAGGGAUGUCCCCAAGUGUCUCUGUGAUGUCCCCAAGUGUCCCCAGGGAUGUCCCCAAGGUGUCCCUGUGAUGUCCCCAAGCGUCCCUGUCCCCGCAGGGUUCCUGUGAUGUCCCUAAGGUGUCCCCAAGGUGUCCCUGUGAUGUCCCCAGGGUGUCCCCAAGUGUCCCUGUGAUGUCCCCAAGUGUCCCUGUCCCCUCAGGGUUCCUGUGAUGUCCCCAGGGAUGUCCCCAGGGUGUCCCCAAGGUGUCCCUGUGAUGUACCCAAGGUGUCCCCAAGUGUCCCUGUGAUGUCCCCAAGUGUCCCUGUCCCCGCAGGGUUCCUGCUGCUCCUCAGCACCAGGGCUGUCCCCAGGACUGUCCCCAGGACUGUCCCCAGGACUGUCCCCAGGGAUGUCCCCAAGGUGUCCCCAAGUGUCCCUGUGAUGUCCCCACGGUGUCCCUGUCCCCGCAGGGUUCCUGUGAUGUCCCCAGGAAUGUCCCCAAGGUGUCCCUGUGAUGUCCCCAAGGUGCCCCCAGGGUGUCCCCAAGUGUCCCUGUCCCCGCAGGGUUCCCGUUGUUUGUGGUGUCCCCAAGGUGCCCCUGUGAUGUCCCCAAGUGUCCCUGUCCCCGCAGGGUUCCUGCUGCUCCUCGGGGCCGGGGCUGUCCCCAGGACUGUCCCCAGGACUGUCCCCAGGACUGUCCCCGGAGGACUCGGAGGAGUUCGAGGCCUGGCUGGGCCCGGGGGGGUGUCCCCGGCCGUGUCCCCACCGAGACCCCACCGAGGGAGGGACCCCGGAGCCCCGAGAACCCACGGAGGAUGACGUGUACUGCCGCUGUCUGUCGCGCACUCUGUGCCACACGGCCACUCCGGUCACCGUCGGUUUCUACGCGCCGUGUGGUCACCGCCUCGAGUCCCUGCUGGCCAAGGUCACCGGUGCGUCGGGAAUUCGGGAAUUAUCCGGGAAUUAUUUGGGA